UACAUGGGGUGCAAACGUUGCUCGGAAUUAUUGGGCGUAAAGCGCGCGUAGGCGGUUACUUAAGUCGGAUGUGAAAGCCCUCGGCUUAACUGGGGAACUGCGUCUGAUACUGGAUGGCUUGGAUUUGGGAGAGGGAUGCGGAAUUCCAGGUGUAGCGGUGAAAUGCGUAGAUAUCUGGAGGAACACCGGUGGCGAAGGCGGCAUCCUGGACCAACAUUGACGCUGAGGAGCGAAAGCCAGGGGAGCAAACGGG
rnacentral:rRNA from 1 species